rnacentral:misc_RNA from 1 species
GAGAAUUCUCUGACCAGUUGUUGGAAUUGGAGAGUUUGGUUUCCAGCUACUUUGGAGCUUCAGCUUGGAAUUAGAGGCUAAAAUUGUUAUUUAGAAUAUAAAUAUAUUUCUUUAUCAGGUUAAUUAUAUUGAUUUUUGUUCUGGAAUUAUAAUUAAUCCCUGCUUCUUGUUCUAUUAAUUUUAUGCACAUAAUAAUAAAUAUAAUUUGAGAGUAAAA